rnacentral:rRNA from 1 species
UACGUAGGGUACAAGCGUUGUCCGGAAUUAUUGGGCGUAAAGAGCUCGUAGGUGGUCUGUCACGUCUGCUGUGGAAACGCAAGGCUCAACCUUGCGCGUGCAGUGGGUACGGGCGGACUAGAGUGCAGUAGGGGAGUCUGGAAUUCCUGGUGUAGCGGUGAAAUGCGCAGAUAUCAGGAGGAACACCGGUGGCGAAGGCGGGGCUCUGGGCUGUAACUGACGCUGAGGAGCGAAAGCAUGGGGAGCGAACGGG